UCCGGUUUGUCACCGGCAGUCUCACAUGAGUCCCCAACUAAAUGCUGGCAACAUGCGACGGGGGUUGCGCUCGUUGCGGGACUUAACCCAACAUCUCACGACACGAGCUGACGACAGCCAUGCAGCACCUGUGUAAGCUGGUAUUGCUACCUCGUCACCCUUUCAGGCUUCUACUACCGUACAUGUCAAGCCCAGGUAAGGUUCUUCGCGUUGCAUCGAAUUGAGCCACACGCUCCGCCGCUUGUGCGGGCCCCCGUCAAUUCCUUUGAGUUUCAGCCUUGCGGCCGUACUCCCCAGGCGGGGCACUUACUGCGUUAGCGACGGCACCGGGAGGGUCGCUCCCCCCGACGCCUAGUGCCCAUCGUUUACGGCGUGGACUAC
rnacentral:misc_RNA from 1 species